rnacentral:rRNA from 1 species
CACGUAGGGUGCGAGCGUUGUCCUGAAUUAUUGGGUGUAAAGAGCUCGUAGGCGGUGUGUCGCGUCGGCCGUGAAAACCUGCAGCUUAACUGUGGGCUUGCGGUCGAUACGGGCAUCACUGGAGUUCGGCAGGGGAGACUGGAAUUCCUGGUGUAGCGGUGAAAUGCGCAGAUAUCAGGAGGAACACCGGUGGCGAAGGCGGGUCUCUGGGCCGAUACUGACGCUGAGGAGCGAAAGCGUGGGGAGCGAACAGG